rnacentral:rRNA from 1 species
GACGAACGCUGGCGGCGUGCCUAACACAUGCAAGUCGAACGGAAAGGCCCUGCUUUUGUGGGGUGCUCGAGUGGCGAACGGGAGAGUAACACGUGAGUAACCUGCCCUUGACUUUGGGAUAACUUCAGGAAACUGGGGCUAAUACCGGAUAGGAGCUCCGGCUGCAUGGUGGGGGUUGGAAAGUUUCGGCGGUUGGGGAUGGACUCGCGGCUUAUCAGCUUGUUGGUGGGGUAGUGGCUUACCAAGGCUUCGACGGGUAGCCGGCCUGAGAGGGUGACCGGCCACAAUGGGACUGAGAUACGGCGCAGACUCCUACGGGAGGCAGCAGUGGGGAAUAUUGCACAAUGGGCGGAAGCCUGAUGCAGAAACGCCGCGUGCGGGAUGAAGGCCUUCGGGUUGUAAACCGCUUUCGCCUGUGACGAAGCGUGAGUGACGGUAAUGGGUAAAGAAGCACCGGCUAACUACGUG